GUCAUUUUGAGUUCUAGGAAUUCAAGUUCUGGUUAUCUGAGUUGUAAGAAUUUAAGUUCUUCCCAAGACCAAUAAGAUACAUUUACUUGGGAUAGUUAGGGAAAAAAUCUAUAAGCAUUUGGAUUUUUCCCAAAAUGUUCCUCUUGCAGAAUGAUAACCAUCAGCAGUAGAAACGGUACACGGGGGCUGAGUGUGCAUGUCAGGUAAAUUAUAAUUUAAAGCUCAAAAAAUACUUUGAUAUUUUCACUAAUAGGUUUAUGCCAAAAAUAAACAAUGAAUUGAAGAGUUAUACCACAUCCAAGCUCUGCUACCUCCACAUACACACAAAACGAUGUCCUUUCGACUUUCUGCUUCGAACGCACAACUGAAACUGUCCAACAAGUUCAAAUGCCCCCAAGGUUUAGCACCAGGAAAACCGCAAGAGCCAGAAAAGGCAGACUGCACCGCCUGCGUCUCCCUGCACUCCGGGAGAUAAUGAAGAGCGUUCCCGGGCGAAGAGGAAGGAAGGUUGCCACAGAGGGGACGAGAAACCCGCAGCUCCGGAGCAAGUCUCCGACUUCGGCCGCCGGACCAGAAGACUUCAACAGCCGAGGUGGGGGCGUCACUUCCUGGGCUUCUUCCCCGCUUCCGGCCGACUCCGCCCCCGACCCUCAAGCCACGCCCGACGGUCACGCCCCCUUGCUGGUCACGCUCCUUCCCGCUCGAGCUUGCCCUUCCGAAAUUCCUGCCAUCUCUGGGACUUCUGGCCUUUGCCCAAGAGUUGGGUACUGUACUUUCCCUGGACUUUUUUUUUAUUACCUCAAGGUUCUGGAGAAUGAACCAAGGGCCUCACACAUGCAUGUGCUCUACCAUUUAGCUAUAUCCCCAGCCCCUAACCAUGGACUUUUACCCUUCCCUCUAUCUUCAUUUCAGACUUUCAUUCAGCAUUUCUCUAAGUCAUUAUUUUGUGAACGCCCACAAUGUACAAUGAGCCAAUUCUUGUUACUAGGGUUACAUCCAUGUACCAAACAAACACGCAAGAUCCCUGCCCGGUGCUGCCUUCCAGUAGGGUGGUCUGUAAAAUAGUAAACAGAUUCCUAAGGAUUUCAGGGUGUAAUGAAUGAAUAUGAAAAAAAUGACAGUUCUAUCUUCUGAUGGUUCAUUUUAGGAUUUUUUUUUUUUUUUUUUACUUUAUGAUGGUGCAAAAUGGAUGUGACAAGUAGAAACUACACUUCAGAUUUGGCAUUUUGAUCUAUUCAAUAAAUUAUGUGAUAUUCAACUCUAAAAAUCAGUUUUGUUUCAAUGAGUUCGCCCAAACGUGAGCUAAAGUAAGUGUUCUGAGCAUGUUUAAGGCAGGUGAGACUAAUCAUGACAUUUGGUAGGGUAGGAGUGCUAUAUUAAAUGCACCUGCAACUUUUGAUAUAUUUAAUUUAUGCUGGGUCUAUUGGGACAUAACCCCGAGGAGCAUCGGUAAGAUGAGGUGGUGAAGAGUUGAGAACUGAAUAGGCACUAACGUAGGUGGCCAGGAAGGACAUACUUGGGGGUGCAUUUGCAGUGAGCCUGGUGGAUAGGAUGGAGGUUAAGCUUGUAAAGAUCUGAAAGGAGAUUUCAUGCAGAGGAAACAGCGAGUGCAAAUGUCCUGAGGACCAAAAUGAACUUGGCUCAAUCCGGAACCCAAGACUGUCAUGACUAGGGCUAAGUAACGGUGAAGGAGAGGAGAUGAAGUUGGAGGUGUAGGCAGAGGCCAGAUAAUGCAGGACACUUGCACAGCAGGGAUUUGGAUUUCAUUUUAAGUACAAUGGUGUCUGGAAGAACUUUCAAAGGUACUGCCUCCUGCAUCUCUGUAUCCGUUUUAGGCUCUUCCAUCAGAGUCAGUUGUUUUCUUUCUUAUUUACCAACUGCUGCUAUGUUAACUUUAUGUGAAUUUAAGGAAGC
rnacentral:lncRNA from 1 species